AGAGUUUGAUCCUGGCUCAGAGCGAACGCUGGCGGCAUGCUUAACACAUGCAAGUCGCACGGUCGGGGCAACCCGGCAGUGGCGGACGGGUGAGUAACGCGUAGGGAUCUAUCCAUGGGUGGGGGACAACCGAGGGAAACUUCGGCUAAUACCGCAUGACACCUGAGGGUCAAAGGCGCUUCGGCGUCGCCUGUGGAGGA
rnacentral:rRNA from 1 species